rnacentral:rRNA from 1 species
UACGUAGGGUGCAAGCGUUGUCCGGAAUUAUUGGGCGUAAAGAGCUCGUAGGCGGUUUGUCGCGUCGGCUGUGAAAGCCCGGAGCUCAACUCCGGGCCUGCAGUCGAUACGGGCGGACUAGAGUUCGGCAGGGGGAGACUGGAAUUCCUGGUGUAGCGGCGGAAUGCGCAGAUAUCAGGAGGAACACCAAUGGCGAAGGCAGAUCUCUGGGCCGUAACUGACGCUGAGGAGCGAAAGCAUGGGGAGCGAACAGG